rnacentral:rRNA from 1 species
AAGUCGUAACAAGGUAACCGUAGGUGAACCUGCGGUUGGAUCAUUACCAAUCCUGGACUCGCAAGAGUCCUUCAACCCCAUGUGCACUUAUUAUUGUUUCUGGGUGCUUCGGCGCCCAAGCUUAUAAACCUUACUUUCUGUCUGAUAUUAUUAAAAUAAUAAAAACAACUUUUGACAACGGAUCUCUUGGCUCUCGCAACGAUGAAGAACGCAGCGAAAUGCGAUACGUAGUGUGAAUUGCAGAAUUCCGUGAAUCAUCGAAUCUUUGAACGCACCUUGCACUCGACUUCGGUUGAGUAUGCCUGUCUGAGAAUCUUUAGAUUUAUUUACCCUUUGGGGUGAGAUUUGAGCUCUUUCACUUAUAGUGAAUGGUUUUAAAUGCAGUGCUUUGUUAGUAACGUCAUAUUGUGACUCACCAAAGUGUAUGAAGGGUUCGCCCAACUUCCUUUAGUGUUAGUAGCAAUAGUUACCUAGCGAUGCCCAACGAAGCCUUGGUUUCACUAAGUUAGUUUUUGCUAACUUGAACUUUGGUCUCAGAUCAGGUAGGAAGACCCGCUGAACUUAAGCAUAUCAAUAAGCGGAGGAAAAGAAAAUAACAAUGAUUCCCCUAGUAACGGCGAGUGAAGCGGGAUGAGCUCAAUUUUGAAAUCUAAGGUGGUAACGCCUUCGAAUUGUAGUUUAGAGAUGCGUUUUCGGUGGCGGCUUGGGUACAAGUUCUUUGGAACGAGACAUCAUAGAGGGUGAGAAUCCCGUCCAUGACCCAGUGUCUGCUACUAUGUGAUACGUACUCGAAGAGUCGGUUUGUUUGGGAAUGCAGACCAAAAUGGGUGGUAAAUACCAUCUAAAGCUAAAUAUUGGCGAGAGACCGAUAGUGAACAAGUACCGUGAGGGAAAGAUGAAAAGAACUUUGAAAAGAGAGUUAAAUAGUACGUGAAAUUGUCAAAAGGGAAACGCUUGAAACCAGUAUUGUUUUCUGGAAUUAUCAGGUCUUUUGACCUGUGUCUUCCAGUAACGAGUCAGCAUCAGUUUGAUUCGAGUGAAAAAGCCUUCGGAACGUAUCUCUUCGGGGAAUUAUAGACGGAGGUCAUAGCUUGGGUUGGACUGAGGACUGCAGCGUAUGUUGGAGAACCUAUCGCCUUGGAAAUUGCAAUUAGUGAAUGCUUGCAUAUGCUGGUUGUAACAAAGAGUACGGUGGGCGUAUCACACUAGCGCUUAGGAUGCUGACGAAAUGGUUUUAAUCGACC